rnacentral:rRNA from 1 species
UACGUAGGGUGCAAGCGUUGUCCGGAAUUAUUGGGCGUAAAGAGCUCGUAGGCGGUUUGUCGCGUCGAAUGUGAAAACCCGGGGCUCAACCCCGGGCCUGCAUUCGAUACGGGCAGACUAGAGUUCGGUAGGGGAGUCUGGAAUUCCUGGUGUAGCGGUGAAAUGCGCAGAUAUCAGGAGGAACACCGGUGGCGAAGGCGGGUCUCUGGGCCGAUAUUGACGCUGAGGAGCGAAAGCGUGGGGAGCAAACAGG